GGAGGGCUCGCAUAGUGGCCUAGUGCGGCGGUCUUGAAAACCGCUAUGAGGGGUGACUCUCAUCGUGGGUUCGAAUCCCACGCCCUCCG
rnacentral:tRNA from 1 species